rnacentral:rRNA from 2 species
GGGCGUAAGAGCUCGUAGGCGGUUUGUCGCGUCUGCUGUGAAAUCCCGAGGCUCAACCUCGGGCUUGCAGUGGGUACGGGCAGACUAGAGUGCGGUAGGGGAGAUUGGAAUUCCUGGUGUAGCGGUGGAAUGCGCAGAUAUCAGGAGGAACACCGAUGGCGAAGGCAGAUCUCUGGGCCGUAACUGACGCUGAGGAGCGAAAGCGUGGGGAGCGAACAGGAUUAGAUACCCUGGUAGUCCACGCCGUAAACGUUGGGCGCUAGAUGUAGGGACCUUUCCACGGUUUCUGUGUCGUAGCUAACGCAUUAAGCGCCCCGCCUGGGGAGUACGGCCGCAAGGCUAAAACUCAAAGGAAUUGACGGGGGCCCGCACAAGCGGCGGAGCAUGCGGAUUAAUUCGAUGCAACGCGAAGAACCUUACCAAGGCUUGACAUACACCGGAAACGGCCAGAGAUGGUCGCCCCCUUGUGGUCGGUGUACAGGUGGUGCAUGGUUGUCGUCAGCUCGUGUCGUGAGAUGUUGGGUUAAGUCCCGCAACGAGCGCAACCCUCGUUCUAUGUUGCCAGCGCGUUAUGGCGGGGACUCAUAGGAGACUGCCGGGGUCAACUCGGAGGAAGGUGGGGAUGACGUCAAAUCAUCAUGCCCCUUAUGUCUUGGGCUUCACGCAUGCUACAAUGGCCGGUACAAAGGGCUGCGAUACCGUAAGGUGGAGCGAAUCCCAAAAAGCCGGUCUCAGUUCGGAUUGAGGUCUGCAACUCGACCUCAUGAAGUCGGAGUCGCUAGUAAUCGCAGAUCAGCAACGCUGCGGUGAAUACGUUCCCGGGCCUUGUACACACCGCCCGUCAAGUCAUGAAAGUCGGUAACACCCGAAGCCGGUGGCCUAACCCUUGUGGAAGAGCCGUCGAAGUGGGAUCGGUGA